rnacentral:tRNA from 2 species
GCGCCAGUGGCGGAACUUGGCAGACGCGCAGGGUUUAGGUCCCUGUGGGCGCAAGCCCGUGUGGGUUCAAAUCCCACCUGGCGCA